CAUGCAUAUCUAAAUUGUGCUUUGUUUCAUUCUGUGAGAAAUUGUUUUUACUAGAUUUGUUAAUUAAUUUUUAUUCUUCUAUGAUCUGAGUUCUUUUUUCUUACUGAUAAUAUUCUUUAUUGUGUUUCUAUACUAGAUGAUUUGUACUAUCUCAGCAGAUUAUUUCUUGUUUGGAAUGUGGUGGUUCUUGCUUAAAACAUUGUUUUUUACAUCUGAGAUGGUCUAACAAUCUCAAGCUUUGGGAAAAUUAUUAGAUGAUGUUAACAUAAGCUUUUGAUAGUAAUGCAUUGUGAGUUCUAAAGCUUUGUGGUCAGAGUUUUAAGACAGCACAUUUUUCCCAAAUAUAAGGUCUAUGUUUUAUAGACAAAUGAUUUAACCUUGUUAGGUUGGAAAAGAUACUCUGCUAUACUUUUCUUGAAUAUUAUGCUAUACUGAAAAAUAUAUAAAUCAUGCUGAGGACUUUGAUAUAAAGAAAAUUUGGAUGGACGUAAAAUAGUGAUGAGUAAGCCGGGUAGCCGCAACCUCAGCCUUACAAUUUUUGAAGACUGAUAUUUCUCUUCUGAAUUAGCUCAGGCUGCUAUCAGUGCCACACAAUCAUUCUUGUUUCAGAACAUGAUGGUCCACAUUCAAUUUAACUUGAAGCUCUUGUGUUUCAAGUAGUUUCCAUUUAUUAUUUUAUCUUGUAUUUAUCUAUUCUAUAGCAAAUUGACUAUUUACUGAUGAAAUUUUGUUGUACAAAGGUUAUCUUUGGAUUCGUAUAAAUCCACUAUGAGUUGGAUUAAAUUAUUAAUCAUAUCAUUUUAAAAACAGAUUUAUGAAAAAUAAGUUGAAAUUAGCAUGCAUACAAAAUAAUUCAGUUCAUAUUAGAAUGUUAUAUGUACAAGUUCGGAUCGGUACGUACCGCCCCUACCAAGUGGUACAUAUUGAAAUUGAAAACCCUGGUAAUAAGUAUAAAUAUAAGUUGUUUAUGAAAAUAGAAAAUUUAAGUGACCCCUAUUCUUCUGAUGGAUUUGAUAUUCAAUCUGAGCUGUUUGAAUGGAUUCAGAUAAAUGACUAACUUUUAUUAGUUGUUUAGGUCUCCUAAACUAACUCUCAAUCUGUAAGAUUAAUCUCUGGAACUCAACUAAAAUUUCAAAUAAAAUAGAAAAACUAGACAUGUACAACUUAUACCUUUAUUGGACACAAUAAAAAAACAUGCCUGAUCCUAAACUAAACUCAAGACUGUAUAAAGUGUUACAUUGUGAGUUAGAAGGUGCAUUUUGGGCCGAAACAAUUUGGGAGAUUCUUUAUUAGAUUCUGUCUUGCAGACAUUUUAUGAAGCCCUUAAUUCUUACACACGGUGUAGCUUUUAAAUCAUGAAGUCUACUACCUAAGUAAAUCAUCAUUCAAUUGGAUAUAUCGGGAGAAAUCUCAGCAGUCAAUCCAUUUACCUAUUUUUGGUCUGGUAAUAGGACAUUCUAAAUACUUUAUGAUGUAAUAUAAUUUUUAAGCAUAGGACAUCAUGAAAUCGACUUGAGGACAGGUCUUGGUAUGAACUCAAAUUUUUGGCCUUUGCUUAAUAUUUGUAAUAUGGUUUGAAUACAUCUGUGCUGGAAGCUUUUUCUUGUUUCCAUCUGUAAGCUGCUCCUGUUGGUUACUGACCUAUAAACCAUUAGUAACUAAUAAUAACAUAUCUUUUAAUGUAGUUCCAAUUAUUUUUAAUAGAACUUAGUGGUAGGAUCAUGAAAAAGAUAGAAACUGGGUCUUGAGGGUAAUCUGUAGUUUCAUUUUUAGGCUUUCGAGUAAAGGUAGGCUUCAAUCAUUUGGAAAGAGACUUCAUCAUACUCUUGUGCAAAAAAAAUUAGAGGGAUAAAUUUUUAUUGACCCUUAUGCGAGGAUAACACAAGGGGGAGACUGUUUGGAUUGGACAAUGUCCGAAUGAGACUCAUGGACACAUUGUCUUGACUAGGUGAAUCAAUUAGGAUAUCUAUCACAAUAGCUAGAUGAAAGCCUAAUGGAGGCCAUGGUCCUUUGUGAAGUCUCACUGAGUUUGCUUUGUGAUGUAACCUCUAUGUUCUUAUCGUUUAAAGAAGUCGUGUAACAUGUUACAUUUUCACCAAACUUUAUACAAUUACAAGUCUGUUGCAGUAGGACAGUCAAUAUCUUUAUACAAUCCGACUCUUGAUUGGAAUUGUAAUUGAUGCAAACAUUAUUAAUAUGCACCUGUUCUUUCUAAAUGCUGAGACUUAACCAUCUAUAGAGUUAUGUGCCUGUUAUAUCAGCAACUAUAUUAAAUACCUUUGGCCUUGAGUCUUGCUUUGCUUGAAUUUUGCCAUUUAUCUCAUCAAUAACAUAUUGCACAACGAAUUACCCUCUUCAUUCUUAAACCAACUUGUCUAUCAUCCAUCUCAUAUAUAAAUUAGAUGCAAUAAGUAAUUUUACUCAGUAUUUGACAUUAUUAUCUUGUUUAGUGCCUCUCCUUUAUUCAAGUCGUGCUUUCCUGCGGAUAUGAAGCUGCUUUUUUAUGCAUGAUUUAUUAGUUAGGGCAGUUCAUUGGUUGCCUUCAGAGUGGAUCGAGGGUGAUGGACGGUCAACUCAUUUUUAUAAUCGAAGCAUGGCCUCUCAUUUUGACUCCAAUUUUAACUUUGGCAAUUGAACCUGAGUCAUUUGUCUAAGCAGUGUCUUGCCUGAGGCAAGACUCACCCUUGAUCAGGCUCAGUCUCGACUCUCUGCUGUCUCAAGUCACCCCUUCGGUGCUCCAAUAGGAGGUGUUCGUGUCGCCCACCUCCUCAGCCCUCCCUUUGUGCCAACUCAGAUCGUGCCUCAAGUCAGUUCCAACGGCUUUUAUCUGCAUCAAUCAACUCCCUCUUACAUAUCCCCAAGCUCGUCUCCGGUUGCCACCCAGCCCCGCAUCUCAGCGAUGGCUUCGUCGUCCUCCCUUCUCGCUUCACCGACGGCUGCCCGACAGGUCCCCGCUGCCGCCACAGUUUCCUUCCCUCUCCCUCCGAAGUCCAGUCUAAUCUCUGCCAAGGUUGUUGGAGGAUCCGCCAAUGACGCUGCAUCUUUUGAGGCCAAGGCGAAACAACUAGCAUCCCAAGAGAGGGAUACGGAGGCAGUAAAGAUGUCGCCGCCAUGACUCGAGUUGCAAGCCUCGUAAAGCUUGUUGAUUCCAAAGACAUUGCUGGAGGCUUUGCCUCGGCCUCCGGCAUCGAAUACAGUUGUUAUGAUGCAUGUCUCCACGAGCUGCACGUGUCUUUGCAUCACCUGCUGCUGCUUCAUCAACAGCACCUACGACGCCUGCAUCUGCCCUAAAGACCUCCAAGUCAUCACAUCCGCCUCUCAAGAGUCCUAUGGUUGGGACAGGACAUUUUAUAGAAGCUCAGGUCCGGGCUUGCCCCCCUUUUGUUAACUUUCAUGGUAUGUAUGUACAUGCAUCGAAUAUUCAAUUCACCCUAACAUGCAAAAAAAAUCAACUAUUUUAAAUCCAAGCAAUCGACAUUACAUAAUAUCUAUCACAAGCUUUUUACUAGGUGAUAAUAAUGUCACUAACGAUCAUCAAUUCCAGGGGAAGUUGAUCUGUCUUCACCUGUUUCUCGAAUGAAUAAUAAUACUCUAUUUGAAAACCAAA